rnacentral:rRNA from 1 species
ACGGGGGGAGCAAGCGUUGUUCGGAAUCAAUGGGCGUAAAGGACGUGUAGGCGGUCAGGUAAGUGGAAUGUGAAAUGACCCGGCUCACCCGGGGACCGGCAUCACAAACUGCCUGGCUGGAGUAUGGGAGAGGAUGGAGGAAUUCCUGGUGUAGCGGUGAAAUGCGUAGAUAUCAGGAGGAACCCCGGUGGCGAAGGCGUCCAUCUGGCCCACUACUGACGCUGAGGCGCGAAAGCUAGGGGAGCAAACGU